GUGUUGUAAGAAAGGAGAGAAGGUUAGCACUCCCCUUGAUAAGGACGGAAGGGACCCCUGUGGUCUAUAUAACACAUAUAAGGCGCUUGCCUCCUUACUUCGGAGGCAGGUCUUUAUUUUUU